UACGUUCCCGGGCCUUGUACACACCGCCCGUCACGUCACGAAAGUCGGUAACACCCGAAGCCGGUGGCCCAACCCUUGUGGAGGGAGCCGUCGAAGGUGGGAUCGGCGAUUGGGACG
rnacentral:rRNA from 1 species